GUUGAACGCUGGCGGCAUGCCUUACACAUGCGAGUCGAACGGCAGCACGGGUGCUUGCACCUGGUGGCGAGUGGCGAACGGGUGAGUAAUACAUCGGAACGUACCUUAUCGUGGGGGAUAACGCAGCGAAAGCUGUGCUAAUACCGCAUACGCCCUGAGUGGGAAAGCGGGGGAUCGCAAGACCUCGCGCGAUUAGAGCGGCCGAUGCCUGAUUAGCUUGUUGGUGGGGUAAAAGCCCACCAAGGCGACGAUCAGUAGCUGGUCUGAGAGGACGAUCAGCCACACUGGGACUGAGACACGGCCCAGACUCCUACGGGAGGCAGCAGUGGGGAAUUUUGGACAAUGGGGGCAACCCUGAUCCAGCAAUGCCGCGUGAGUGAAGAAGGCCUUCGGGUUGUAAAGCUCUUUUGUCAGGGAAGAAACACCGGCUCUAACACAGUCUGGGAAUGACGGUACCUGAAGAAUAAGCACCGGCUAACUACGUGCCAGCCGCCGCCGUAA
rnacentral:rRNA from 1 species